UGCUCUUCCCCCAAUCCCCAAUCCCCUAACGCCAGUGGACCAAGACCAAUCCCCACCCCUCCCGUGCUGCUCCUCUCCUCCAAUCCCCUCCCGCUGCUCCUCCCCAAUCCCCUACCUCCACUCCAUCUCCGGCAAGCAGUGGUGGCCGCCGAUUGGAACAACAUCGGCAGCAGGGACGUUCACGGGCAGAGCACGGCCAGAGGAGGAGGGCCAAAGCACGGCCGACCAGCAGCGGGGAUCAAAGAUCCGACAACGGCGAAGCACAGGUGGGUUGGUGGCCUGCCCGAGCCUCAUCUUCAUUGGAAAUCUGCAGGUCCAAACGAGAUUGCGGGGAGAUGAGGUAGACGUCUCGAGAAGCCAUGAAGAACUCGGUUCAGUUUGGCUCUGGGUGGUCUCCUUCUUGGCUGGUAGUUCUUCUCAUUGGUGGUAUACGAAUACACAUCAACAAUAUUGGAAAGGGAGGAUGAUACAGUCAUGGCAGGGAUUUGGGACAAUUAAUUGUGAAGAAACCUUCAGACAUUGCUAAUUAAUGGAGUGAAACUAGCAGGGCAGAGAUUUGGGGAAGCUAAUUGUAAGUACAUCUACCUAUGCGAUAUCUAUGUUUUUCUCUGUACAAUUUUAUGAUAUUUUGAGCAGAAGCAAACUGCUAAAAAAAUUGAUUGAUGUAGCAUGUGGAGAACCGCUACUAUUAUCUUACCGAGUCGGCCUUCUUCGUUCCCCGUCUCUCUCUCACACAGCUCGCAUCUGACCAAGACACAGUACCUUGAAUAGGGUUGGAACAGGAGGACAUGAGGGAACCAACAAGGAAGGGUACUGGUGGCCUUGAAGUUGCCGUGUUGUUUUCUGAAGGAAGAAGACGAAGUUCUCUGUUUCUAUGGUCGAAGUGAAUACAUGUAAAUCAAAUGACAUGAGCUGAUUAAUUACUGGUUAUCCUUCAUUGAAGUAUUUUGAGCCAAUGAAAAUAGAGAAAUUUACUUCUAUUGCCCUGAUAUGUUUCAACGCAACCGCUUUAUUCCCAAGUGUAUUGUGGAUUGCGGGGAUGACCUUUGGAUAUGGUUAUGGGCGGGGAUGGCCUUUGGACAUGGUUAUGGCAUUCUAAUAAUUACAACAAGAGCAAUGUCAUUGCCUUUUAUAUGGCUUUCUACAAUUACACCAGCCCUGAGCAUGAGGUUUCCAGAAUACACUCUGAGAAUCUCACCUGGCGAUGAGGCAAUAUUAUUUUGGAAUGAUGAGUAUCCUUAUAUUGCAGGAAAAACCAAUUUGCUCUAGGAUUUUCUUGUUUUCAUAGCAUAGAUGUUAAUUUGUUGAAAAUGAUUCUUUGUAAGCUAAAUUAGUGAAGACUUGAUGCAUGUUAUUUCAUAAAUAAUAGCAGCCUGAGUUGAUGUUAUAUGUUUGAAACGAUGAUGCUAACAGACCCUUAUCUUUUGAUGGACUAUGCAUGAAAGAAUUUUCGAUUACAUUCAUGGAUUGAGAUAUUAUUGAUGGCUAAUGAUGCAGACCACACAUUUCUGGUUUUGGUUAUUUGUAUAGACUCCAGUCAUUUCCAGUAUGUGGUGUUCAUAAUAUCAUUUUAUUUUUUUUGUCAUGUUUUUCUAAGAAAUGGGAUGCAUUCCUACUUACUCAUCUAAUCUCAAACAAGCUUGAUCCUACUUUGGUUUGCUUGUUGUUGGGGUACACCUUGUUUUCGCAAUGGUGAAUCCAUGUCGAUUUUUGACUUGCAUCUACAUCUGAUCGGAUAUGCACUUUCAGUCAGCUCAUCCUUCCUUCCUUGUUACUGCCUGCAUUUUAUGGAGAGAUGCAGGUAUGAGAUGUUUCGCCUCCGUCGUGCAUGGUGGUCUCCUACAAAUAUCUAUGCCCAAGCGUUGUACAAUUAGCUGCCAGAAGAUCAGGAGCUGCCUCACGGUAUAACCAGGCAGCCGGCAUCUGCGAUGAUAAUUGCGAUCUGCAUGACUCCGCGGCUGCAUUGCCUUCUAUAUGAGACAACUACUCUGCCGAAGGAUAUGUUGUUCCACAUGUUAAGUCUUCCAUUGAUAUGGAUGCUCGGUGGCAUGAAAUUCGUCUUGGCACGAUCCCAGUUGGAUAUGAGUAUGGGGAUGGUUCCAUUCCUAAUUCUGAAGACAAUUUAAGAGGUCAAUGAGGUUAUAAAAUGGGCUUGCGGAAAGAGUAGGUUGCAUCUUUUUGGCGUUUGCCAAAUCAAUAAACCAUCUCCUUUCGAUAGGAGAUCAUGCAGCCCAGGGUGCUCCAGUGCUCCUUUUUUCGGUUUUUUCGUUCGCCCUGACCAUCACAGAAAUCCUUACCAGCAUCCUCCAAAGUUUCUCCAGGAAGUGGUUUCCAGCAACAUUCAAUGUCAUAGGAUCUGACUAUUAAUCAGUCAAUUGAACUUUGCGAUGGCACUUGUCUCAUGAUUACUAGGUUGGGCGAAUGGGUUCUCAAAGCUUAUGACUGGGCGCAAUGUAGGUGUUUCUGAUUGCAUACCAAGAAUUGUGCUGCAUGCACCAUGUGCAAAUGGACCUUACUCUACAACAUCCACAAUAUCAGCAAUGUAGGUGUCUGUGUGCAUAGCAAGAAUUGUGUUGCAUGCUCCAUCUACUAGUGCCCUUUACUCAUCGACAGUAUCAGCAAUGUAGGUGCCUUUGCUAUGCAAUGAGAACUAAUGAAAGCCAGGGGCAAACACUGGACAAGGUUGUAGUCUAUUUACUGAUAGUAUUCAUGUUGCAUGUUAGUGUAAUUUUCUGUAUGUUCAAGGUUAUGUAACUCUGUAGCUCAUGAACUUGGUAGGCAAGGUGCUCUGCUAGGGGAUGGCAACCAAGAUGUUUAGGUUGGCCAUUAACCUCAGUCUGUACUUAACCUGGGUCUUGGUGAUGUGUCGAGUGUAGCAGUUUAAUGGAA